rnacentral:misc_RNA from 1 species
GAUGAAGAACGUAGCAAAAUGCGAUAAGUAGUGUGAAUUGCAGAAUUCAGUGAAUCAUCGAAUCUUUGAACGCACAUUGCGCCCCCUGGUAUUCCGGGGGGCAUGCCUGUCCGAGCGUCAUUACAACCCUCAAGCUCAGCUUGGUGUUGGGCCCCGCCGCCCCGGCGGGCCCUAAAGUCAGUGGCGGUGCCGUCCGGCUCCGAGCGUAGUAAUUCUUCUCGCUCUGGAGGUCCGGUCGUGUGCUCGCCAGCAACCCCCAAUUUUUUUCAGGUUGACCUCGGAUCAGGUAGGGAUACCCGCUGAACUUAAGCAUAUCAAUAAGCGGAGGA